rnacentral:misc_RNA from 1 species
GAAAGACAAUCAGGCAUUCUUAUCAUGCAAGUCAAUAUUAUGAUCAACUGAGUUAUUCUGUUUCUGUUUGCUUUGUUAUUUUUUCUACUAGCUGUGUAAAAAUUGUGAGGAAUAAAAAGUUUUAGAAGAUCAUUGGUGCAAAGAUGUUGAAGGCAUCAUUUUCUCAUGAUCUUGGUCUUACCUAUGAAACUUUUCUUUGGAAUGUUUGUCAACUCCGGAGUCUGGAAUCUCAUUAUUAAUUGACCAAAACUUUUUGGCUUUUGAAUGUCUAUUCAAGCAUGCCCACACUCUUUACAGGCUGGCCUAUACUUGUUUGUAUUAAGGGCACUCAUGAAACUAACAUUAAAAUUCAAUUGCUUUGUAAGGUCAUAAACUCGGCUAGUAGUGAAAGCAUCGUGAUUAAUUAUGCACAGAACAGGUCAAAACUGAUUUUCUAGGACAGCAAUAUAUAAGUUUGACCACAAUAAUAGGAUGAUGCCUGAAUCAUUGAUUGCUAAUUUGUAGGUUGUGUUUAUCCUUGCUGUUUGUUUUCUCUGUGCUUAUAUUUAAAUUUCAUUGUUAAUAGGGGAAUGUGGUCAAGGAUGUUG